rnacentral:tRNA from 1 species
GCCAAUUUGGCUCAGAGGACAGAGCAUUGGCCUACAGACUGAAGAGUCCCAGUUCGAUUCUGGGCAGGGGCA